ACGGCGUCGAGCGGCGGACGGGUGAGUAAUGCCUAGGAAAUUGCCCUGAUGUGGGGGAUAACCAUUGGAAACGAUGGCUAAUACCGCAUGAUGCCUACGGGCCAAAGAGGGGGACCUUCGGGCCUCUCGCGUCAGGAUAUGCCUAGGUGGGAUUAGCUAGUUGGUGAGGUAAGGGCUCACCAAGGCGACGAUCCCUAGCUGGUCUGAGAGGAUGAUCAGCCACACUGGAACUGAGACACGGUCCAGACUCCUACGGGAGGCAGCAGUGGGGAAUAUUGCACAAUGGGCGCAAGCCUGAUGCAGCCAUGCCGCGUGUGUGAAGAAGGCCUUCGGGUUGUAAAGCACUUUCAGUCGUGAGGAAGGUAGUGUAGUUAAUAGCUGCAUUAUUUGACGUUAGCGACAGAAGAAGCACCGGCUAACUCCGUGCCAGCAGCCGCGGUAAUACGGAGGGUGCGAGCGUUAAUCGGAAUUACUGGGCGUAAAGCGCAUGCAGGUGGUUUGUUAAGUCAGAUGUGAAAGCCCGGGGCUCAACCUCGGAAUUGCAUUUGAAACUGGCAGACUAGAGUACUGUAGAGGGGGGUAGAAUUUCAGGUGUAGCGGUGAAAUGCGUAGAGAUCUGAAGGAAUACCGGUGGCGAAGGCGGCCCCCUGGACAGAUACUGACACUCAGAUGCGAAAGCGUGGGGAGCAAACAGGAUUAGAUACCCUGGUAGUCCACGCCGUAAACGAUGUCUACUUGGAGGUUGUGGCCUUGAGCCGUGGCUUUCGGAGCUAACGCGUUAAGUAGACCGCCUGGGGAGUACGGUCGCAAGAUUAAAACUCAAAUGAAUUGACGGGGGCCCGCACAAGCGGUGGAGCAUGUGGUUUAAUUCGAUGCAACGCGAAGAACCUUACCUACUCUUGACAUCCAGAGAACUUUCCAGAGAUGGAUUGGUGCCUUCGGGAACUCUGAGAC
rnacentral:rRNA from 1 species